CCGCAAUAGCAACAAGGGCUCU
rnacentral:miRNA from 1 species